CAUAUACUCCCUCCGUUCUGAAUUACUUGUCGCAGAUAUGGAUGUAUCUAGAUGUAGUUCUAGAUACAUCCAUUUCUGCGAUUAGUAAUUUGGAACGGAGGGAGUAGUUA
rfam:Triticum aestivum genome assembly, contig: Triticum_aestivum_CS42_TGACv1_scaffold_392512_5AS